GAUGAACGCUGGCGGCGUGCCUAAUACAUGCAAGUCGAGCGAACAGACGAGGAGCUUGCUCCUUUGACGUUAGCGGCGGACGGGUGAGUAACACGUGGAUAACCUACCUAUAAGACUGGGAUAACUUCGGGAAACCGGAGCUAAUACCGGAUAAUAUUUUGAACCGCAUGGUUCGAUAGUGAAAGAUGGCUUUGCUGUCACUUAUAGAUGGAUCCGCGCCGCAUUAGCUAGUUGGUAAGGUAACGGCUUACCAAGGCAACGAUGCGUAGCCGACCUGAGAGGGUGAUCGGCCACACUGGAACUGAGACACGGUCCAGACUCCUACGGGAGGCAGCAGUAGGGAAUCUUCCGCAAUGGGCGAAAGCCUGACGGAGCAACGCCGCGUGAGUGAUGAAGGUCUUCGGAUCGUAAAACUCUGUUAUUAGGGAAGAACAAAUGUGUAAGUAACUGUGCACGUCUUGACGGUACCUAAUCAGAAAGCCACGGCUAACUACGUG
rnacentral:rRNA from 1 species